UCAGAAUCAGAAUCAGAAUCAGAAUCACAUUUAUUUCACACGUAUUUAAACUAAGUAAGAAUAACAUACAGAAAAUUUAUAUAGUUACAAGAAUCAAAGCCCACAUAUUAAAACUGCUAUAUUAAACAAACGUGUACAGUGAUCAAAAUAGCGGAAUGCUUUCGAGUUGAUCACUGUAUAUAUGUAUCAUAUUAUUAUAUAAAAGUAUAUGACGGCGACAUAACAGAGCUGUGUGGUAUUUAUAUUUGGGAAUAAAUAAGGAAUUGACUAUACCUAUUCUUAAAAACAGAAACUGAAUUUGACUCUUUUAUAUGGUAAGGAAUUGUCUCCCAAAUUUUUGAUGAAAUAAAUCUGAAAGUAAAGAUUCCAUAAUUUGUUCGAGCAUUCGACCUAAUAAAAUUUUGUUUUUCAGCAAAUCUAGUAGAAUAAGAGUGCUGAGUAGAUGCAGUAGAAAUGAUAUUUGAAAAUAUCCUAGGGAUAUUUUUAUCUUCGUUUAUAAUUUUGUAUGUAAAUGUGGCUAUUUUCAAUUUAAA